UACAGAGGGGGCAAGCGUUGUUCGGAAUUACUGGGCGUAAAGGGCGCGUAGGCGGCCUGCUAAGUCGAACGUGAAAUCCCCGGGCUCAACCCGGGAACUGCGUCCGAUACUGGCAGGCUUGAAUUCGGGAGAGGGAUGCGGAAUUCCAGGUGUAGCGGUGAAAUGCGUAGAUAUCUGGAGGAACACCGGUGGCGAAGGCGGCAUCCUGGACCGAAAUUGACGCUGAGGCGCGAAAGCCAGGGAAGCAAACGGG
rnacentral:rRNA from 1 species